GUCUACGGCCAUACCACCCUGAAUGCACCCGAUCUCGUAUGAUCUUGGAAGCUAAGCAGGGUCGGGCCUGGUUAGUACUUGGAUGGGAGAUAUUAGGUAAUAGGAAAAA
rnacentral:rRNA from 1 species